GAGCGUAUCUCUUCCGAAACCCUUUUCUCAGGACCCAAAAUGAAGAAGACAUUGGAGGCGCUAAUUUAUGGCGACUGGGCCGACGCGCCUAACUAAAAACCUCGCUUACAUCCUCAUUUGAAUGCGUAAAUCGGCCUGUUCCACGCAUUCCGGCCAUCUUUUUGGCCAAUUAACGAAUCUGAAAAUCUCCACAGCUUUCGAUUACUUUUCUAGACAGCGUAACCUAGUUCCAAAAUGAUCUAAGCACUGACUGGCAUCGACUAAGCAGCCUGUAGCGUUGCAAGGGAGGAACGCGAGACGAAGAGGAGAGAAAGGGAAAAAUAGAAAGAGAGGGAAAGGAAGAAGGAGGAGAUGAGAAGAAUGGAACGAGGAAGGGGUGAAAAAAUGGGAAUGCAAUGUGGCUCAUUAACGCUCGUAAAGGCGUUCGUGAUGGCGCCGAUCGCCAACAACGGCACACUUGCGCCCUCAGGCCUGUAAUCACGGAACUUAUAAUAAUCUAGUAUCCUCGUUCCUGCUGGCCGACUGUAACGACUCGAAAUUACAAGCGAUAUCAAUUUUAUAGUUAUAACACGAGCCGUAAUCAGACCUGGUGCUGUCCCAAACGUCCGACUCGUCGUUCACGGAAUGAUCGCGACUCUUGCCAAGGUCGCAUCAUUGGUAAAAUUCAGCAUCGUUCUCCUUUGGCAAAGUAGAAUCGUCGUUUUCUAGUCAGACUAGUUCUUCUGUACACUUCGACUCAGAUACGUCGGUUUAUCUGUUAUUUCCGAUUGUUGAGGCGAUCAGACGUAGUUAACAGAGGAACGCACGGAUAAAUCGUAAAGUAGAAAAUAUAUGUCGGAGUCAGGUUGACAUUUUGGCAUUUACCGUUGCGGAUGUAGUUAAUAUUUAUCGCUACAAACGUGGACACUACAAGAGGCUAUGAGUAAUGGCGAUAGGAUGGUCGAGAUGAUGGUGACAACGAAUUCAGGUUCGAUAACGAAUCCACGGUCCACGGGAUGACGAGUACCAACGUAAUACACGAUUCGGAUAACUCAAUUAGCAAUUCGUCCAACGACUAACUAACUAACUAACUAACUAACUAACUCGUAAUACAAAUGAAACUGCAGUUAUAUAUUCCUGUCCCCACUUCUCGGGGGACAUCUUUGUUUUUAAGGAGAGCCAUAUGAUCAUUCCAUACCUCUGUCAGGUACACGUCCCUUCCGUGACCGUGGCUAUGUCACUUCGAGCCCGAAUCCAUCGUCAUAAAGUCAGAUUUGAACAUUAAAACUAUUUCUUAUUUUUAUUACUUAAGUGUAGCUAUAGUAAAAGUCUGGACUAGGAUAUUGGGGGUUUUAUCAACAUACCAUUUUCAUCUCCGACAUAUAUUUUAAUACAGAAGUGUAAGCACAAGUAGGGAUAUAAUUUGAGCUGGUCCCGAUUCGCACGCUAACAGCGUUACCCUAUAACUGAAAACCCCGAAGCCAUCGUCGCCUGUCUACCGUCUGUGGUCUGCCUUCGUCUAUCGUCUAACGCUGUCGAUGGCUUCAGUGCUUGAGAAAACUAAAAAGAUGUAGAGUUUUCUUAGAAGUGGUGACCACUUCAACACUGGUGGAACUAUUGGGUUGGCAACUAAGUGAUUGCGGAUUUUGUCAUUAGAUGGUACUGACAAAGCCCGCAAUCACUCAGAUGCCAAUGACGAAUUUUAAUUACACUUUAUGCGAAGGCCACAGGAAAAUUAUAUGACGCGUCGUGUGUUGCUGAUUUUCUUACUUUAUGCCACUUUGGCGGCUGACAACAUGUCCGUAUAACACACGUAGCAAUGACGAUAAUAACAAACAGUGAUAAGUAGCAUUAUUUUGGAAGAAUAAUAACUCGUGUUGCGACUGUGAACCAUGGACACCAAAUAGUAUUUGUAGGAAGAGUCAACGAGCAAAUACUUCGUAAAUUAUAUCGAUAUUUAAAAGGUAUCUAUUGGGCAGUAGAACUCUGACUGUCUGGUCGAAGCGUUUACGAUUCCUUGGUGAAACAGGCAAUCCAUUUAUCGGUUUUGUGUAAGAGGAGAAUUGGAUAACAGCGGAAUGAAUAGUUAAAUGGAGAAUUGUUGUAAGUAUUUAUUGGCUUAGGACACCUGCUGAUGACGUAGAAAAACAUGAUAAGUGACCGAGAUAUUCGAUAAGCUGAUUAAUUGGACUAGAAUUCCGUACUCUUGCAAGGAUAAUGAUUCAGGUAUAAGAAGAGAGAUAGUUUCGAAACUAUUUGGAGAAAGAUUAGAUAGAAAAUCUUCGACGCUAGUAAAAAUUUCAAUUUGACUAUUCAAAUUAUUUAAUCGUAGAAAAGGAAUGUAAUUGGAAACCAGUAGGAUUUAGUCUUUUAAUUUACCAAUUUACGAUACUGUGAAAAUAUUAACAAUUUAUUUAUUGUAAAAAGUCGAUGGUUGAUACGAAUGACCGUAACUGGAGAACAGAAUAUUAGAUCGACUAGCGAAGUUAACUGAAACGGCAAUCCUUUGUUCCAAAUCCGACGUACAUCGCUGCGUUAAGAUCGCAGAUUUUACGCGAGGGUCUCUCAUACUCGAAAUUAAUUUUUCUCAAAAUUUGAGAUUAGCCUUUCGAAGCCAAUUUCGAGCUCUACCCAACGACUACCUCAAAAGAAAUUUUCUAAUUAAAAGAAGAGAAGAUCCGAGUUAGCCUGUUCGUUCCUCGACAAUAAAUUUCCAUCAAUCUACGAAAGACAAGACAGAACCAGGACGAGAAACCCUGAAGAAAUGCAGCAGACAGCUAUCGAAGAGACAUCUCCUCGAAGACCGGCGAAUAACACGAACAUCAUCGUGCAUCGAUAAUUGAACGCGGCUAUACUUGCAGAAGACCGUGCGUCAGUUAGCGAUGAGGUCUGCGCAAACUGCCUCCAAUUAUGUCCUUUACUGUCGAUACGUUGCCAACAUAAAUUCCUUGCCGGCCCUAAAAAGGAGAGGACGAACCGAGCAAUCACUGCCUCGUCGCUUCGAAACGGCCCACUUCCCCGAAGCUAAUUGUUCCUUGAAAUAUAUCGUUUAAUUUGUAUUUAUUAUAAGGCUCCCGUGGUGCAGGGUUGGCUGGCGAGCAAAUAGCAAGGAAGAUACACUGUCGAAGGAAUACGAGAAUAUAAGAGACGCGAUAAUUAAUAUAAAUAGCGAUGGGCGCAAGCAACUGGUAAUAGCGCAAGCAGCGAACUUGAACGUUGGAUUCGAGAAGUCUGUGUUAUUUGGAAAGAAAGAAUCGGUUACUUUCAAGAAGAUUCGAACUUCAACGCAACAGACUCGGGCCCUGUACGAAUACUUUGAGAAAUGAAAUCGCUCAGUUGCCAAUCCAAUAGUUUAGCGUCGACGUGCCCGUAAGCAGAUUUCCGAAAGUUGCGAGUGCUCGUUCCGAGGUUGGAAAACAGCUUGUGAAGAUUGCGAAUACUUCGCCAAGAUACGAUGAACGAACUUGCGGAGCUAAUAAAUGUAACGAAUCGACAGAUAGAUGGAUUGGCAACUAAGUGAUUGUAGAUUUUGUCAAUGCCACCUAAUGACAUUGUAUUGGAAUCUGAUGAAGCAAAUCUUGGAUGUUGGGCUUGAUUCGGAUUUGUAAGUAUUUGUAUCGAACUUAAUCCCAUCGCUACAUGUAAAAAAGAGAGAGAGAGAAAGAAAUGUAAGGGUAAAACGGAUGGAGCGGAUAAUUAGAAAAUGAAACUGAGCUCUGCACGAAUUGAGAACUCGUUCUGGGCUCCCAUUAUGUUUGUUAAGCUCCUGGAAGCCGACUCGCGUGCAAUUUUUUGCGCCUGCUCUUGAAAAGUCGAUUAACCCGGCACGGCGGCCGACAUUCAAAUGAAAAAACAAAUCCUGCUCGCUUACUGUCCAAUGAUAUAUAUAUUUUGCAGAUUUUUCAUCCUCCUUCUUCUGUCUCUUUUUUUCGCUGGUAUUUUAGUUUUUUUCAGAGAUUAAACCUAACCCAAUUCGUUUUACACUAUAUGUGCCGAGACGUAACUUGCGUGCAAAAUCUAUUUGCACAUUGCACGAGUUUAUCAUAGUUUGACACGGUCUGUUUCUCAUCAAUUUAUAUAGCAAUGAUAUACCAAUAUAUAAUUUCCAUGUAACAUUUAUUUGUACAUUAUACAACUCUCUAAUUGUAUUCGCAUGUUGUUUAGCUUUGCCCGUGUACUCUAUUACGAAAAUCCUUUUUUUAACUGCUACGAUUAGUAAUUAACGUGCCGUAUUAAAACGUAAUUCGAUACGCAAGUGCUUAAUGUAACGCAACUAGACGAUUUCAAACGUCAUUAGAUAUUCCAACAUUUACAUUUACUCGCGUGCGAUAAAUUUAAACUACCAUUAAUUCGAACCAUUUAUUCCCGAAUACUAAUCAGACUGGCGUGAUAAUUACGAACUAAAUCAAAUUCAACUCACGGCGUAAGAUAUUCGCCGCAGCGUGUGUGCUUCUCCGCGUCGCCCUAAAAAUACGCUGUUUCUAUUUCCAUUCAAAUCCCCCACCGUGCCAACAGAAUCUCCUCUUGCAACACGCAACGCGUUCUGUUCUCCGAAUCGGGCGUCGCGACGCCCGCGCUUUUUCGGUGGCCGCGCACGAGUAGGCGCCGGCGCCGUCGACCACAGCUGCCUUUCUGCGAGCCUGAUAACGGGGGCUGCUCGCAAGCAACCGCCUGGGUGCUUCGUCUUACCGAAAGCUCUCUGAAAUCGUCUCGCUUUCCUCCCUUUUUUCCUUACCGACGAAAAGGAAUCGCCACCGAGAACCUCGUCGAGGAAAUAUCUUGACGAACGACCCUGCCACCCCCAGCAGGGGGUGGACAAUCGUUCGGAUGCUCGCUUUCCUGUCGAAACAACCAAUACGCGUUCGUGGAUGCGUGACCACGCUUCUAUACACUGCGGGGACGAUUGCAACCUGUAUCGUUCGUCCGUCCUUCUUCCACCCUCGUUUCGUGAAUAUGCAUAGAGCUGUGGUGGUUCGUUGUUCCUUUGUGUCGACCGUGGCUUUCGUUACGUUUUGUUAUUGGCAGCCAGGACCGAUAUAACUGCCACGUGUUCUCCUGAUAGGGCGGCGUGACACGCCCAGAUCGACACCCUGUUUUCGAUACUGUGAAUGAUAUCGCUGGUUGGGGAAUAAGACCAUCGAUGGCGAUUAUUCACUAACAAGCUACAAUUUAAUAUAUUCUGUGUUCUGCAUUUAUGUUUCAGACGACUAAUUUUAUAUUAAAUGUCGUAAGAAACGCGACUGUUAAUUUGGAAUAAUUUUAAAGCAAUGCUUGUACGAUAAUUACAUUGUAAAAGUAGGAAUGAUAAAUCCGUGGGAAAUUUCUUUUAAGGAAUUUCAUUUUCUAGGUGCGUGUAUCUCGUUCGCGGGAAGUGGUUAUUCUCCCUUAGAUUCUGAUUUCCCGAAUUUCCUUUGUGGGCUGUGCGUGGGCAAUUUCCAGAGUAGUUUUCCUGCGUUUGAUUUAAAAAAUGGAAUUAAAAUAGGAUUAAAUGGAAAAUAGGAUACGUGGCAUGGGAUAGAGGGCGAGGAAUAUAAAGAAGGAAUCUAGUCGUAUAGGUUAGGUAAUGUAGAAUGUGGAAUGCCAGUAUUGGAUUGUGUGUGUUAAAUAUAGAGAGCACAAGAUUUGGGAAAUUAAACAAGGAACACUAAUGUAAAAUAUCAUGGCAGAAAUUCAUGAAGCUUAUUGAGUAAAAUAAUGAUCAGCUAAAGUGAAAACAAUUUGCGCCUGCAUUAUAUAGUAACCUUCAUAUAAGAUAUUUUUUACUACACUGAUAGCAAUCAUUUACUCAUUGUGUAAUUACCUACUUGCGUAAUUAUGCUUUUCCGUGCUACUUGCUUUUUAAACUUCCUUUCAUCUACCUGACCUACAUCACAGACGCGUUGAGUGAUUAUAUUGAGGAGCUUCGAUUAAUUGUAAUUAUUUGCCUCAUAAAUAAAAGAAAUGUGAUUUAUGGAAGGUUAGCUGCUAUUACGAGGAUCUGAACGUCCUUAAACGUUAUAAAUAUAACGUUACAAACGUUAUCACGUUAUUUCGAGCUGCACACGGCGUUAAGUGUCUCAAAAUUAAUAAUUUUCAAUUUUCUUCAACCUGAUAAUUGUAACUUAUGGAUCGAUAUUCUUAGUUCUUCUUGGACUACCUUAAAACCAUAACAUUUUGACAAUUAACGUAUUUGUAUUGUUUCCAUCUCAACGUAGCAGUUAAGAAAAAUUGUGAUUAUUAGGUGAGUUUCGGAUGAAAAUUGAUUUGAAAACGUUAGCGUUGGUUCGAUUAUCUGGGAAUAUGUAAUUUCUUGCUGAAGUUUAUAACGCAACAGAUAAUUGACGUAAAACGAUGAUAAAUGACGUGAAAGACUCAUAAGUUUUUAAUAAACAUAUGUAAAGUACGUAGUUGUUAAUUUGAUGUAUCUAAUUGAGAUUAAUAGCAUAGUUAUUUAAAAUAUAAUAAUUAUAGUAAACCUAGUAAUAUAUAUUUUUAUUAAACACAUAAAUACGAUGUUUAAUUCUAAUAUCGCACUAGAUAUACAUUGCCUAUAAAUUUAGAUAAACUACUGUAAUAAAUAAUUAAAAAUAAAUUAGUUACGUUAUACGCAUACGCGAGCGAUAGAAGAAGUCGACCGAGGUACUGUGUCUGUCCAUGACGUUCUUGUACUACUUCCCUCUUUAUCCUUUGUUCCGACAGAAAGGCAGGAACUCAUAAGGCUUCUUUGAACGAUAAAGCAAUUUUCCUGCUGUCUACUUUCUAAGCAUUCCCUUUAUAUGUUUCAUACGAUCCUGGUAAAAAAUUCUUACGUGCGACGCCAAUGGCAAAAAUGUUGGCUUCGAUUGGAAAUGCUGCGCAAGUCCGCUACAAUUUAUCUGCCAAUGAUGUUACUUCGACAAAGGAAGCGCAUUAAAAAUUGAUCGUUGUUCGUACAGAAUGUGUUCGUGAAUAUAUUUGUUAGAAUAUUUUUAUCGAUUAAUUUCAUCGAAAAUCUAGUUGUGCUUCGAAGUAAACCGUUAUAUAAAAUAGUACUGACAAAUAUACAACGAGCGAGAGAAAAUUCUUGAAAAAUAAUCGAUACACGAACAUACGAUCUGUGUUGGCAGAUUUUAAUUUGAGAUAUGCGUAAGAAAUGAGAAAAUAUGAUACGAUAUAUCAUACCUAACAGCGGUUUAAUUAACACCGCACGAAUCGAAAAUUCAUCGACCAACGCCCAAAAUAAGCAGAAAAUCGCAAAAUAAAAUCUUCAAAAUGAAAAAUCCUAAGAACCAAGGAGGCUGUCGAAAUACGUGAAAACGUUUGCAAAAUAAAAUCGUUGAAAUGAAAAAUCCAAAGAACCGAGGAAAGAACAGAAGCUAAGGGGCUCAAAUAUUCUCGUGCACGUUCCUGAAGAAGGGUUGCAGCGUCGGGAUGCCGACAUCACAUGAUGGGCGCCUGGUGCGGCGCCAGCUCGUCUCUCGACCUGCGUGAUCGUGGUCGCACAGGUGUGCUCGCACCCUUCGCCCCGAACAACGCGAUAUCCUAAGCUGAAAGACGUUACGUCGGUCAGUAGACGAUCGAAACAUCAUGUCGACGUUUGCAAAGGGUCGACGUGUCGAUGAUCCCGAUGAGAGCUGCCCACCUGUCGCUCACCGCUUGUCGCGGCUCGGUCACAACGGGUUUCGCGAACCGGCUAACAGAAACGCGACGAAGCUCGAGGACUCGGCGCCGCGACGCUGGCCGACGCCGACGUAGUGGACGACGUCUUGUGGCGCCAGUCCUCGGGCAUCGCGACGCUAUGCCAGGAGACCAGACUCCGAUGCGAGUUAGUUGGCUCUUCUCCAAUGCGUCUGGGUUUAGGUGGAGGACUUGCCGAAGUGACACUGAUUAUUAAUCAUUGACUUACAGCUUUGAAGAUGAAACUAAGCUCUCUGAUUAUGAUGUGAUUAUUAAUAUCUGUGAUUUGUAACUAUAGUUCGUAUAGAUAUGUAGCUAUAAUUAAAGACGAUGUUAAAUCGAGGUCGGUGAAGUGAGAUUGAUUAUUAAUCAUCGACUUAGGGCUUUGGAUAUGAAGCUAAGUUCUUUGGUUAUGAUAUUAUUAAUAGUCGGAUUAUUGAUCUGCGAUUUGUAAUUAUAGGUCGUAUAGAUACGUAGUUAUAAUUAAAGACGAUCGUAAUUCGAGAUUGCUGAAGUGAAAUUGAUUAUUAAUCACUGACUUACGGAUCUGCAGGUGAAACUACCCUCUUUGGUUAUGACGUUAUUAAUAGUAGGAUUAUUGAUUUGUGAUUUGUAAUUAUAGGUCGUAUAGAUAUGUAGUUAUAAUUAAAGACGAUCGUAAAUCGAGGUUGGUGAAGUGAGAUUCUUUAUUAAUCAUCGACUCACGGCUUUGGAUAUGAAGCUAAGUUCUUUGGUUGUGAUAUUAUUUAAUAGCUGGAUUAUAGAUCUGUGAUUUUUCAUUAUUGUUCGUACAGAUAUGUGAUUAUAAUUAAAGAUGACCGUGAAUUGAUAUUGGUAAUUAAUCCAUAAAUUAUAAUGUAGGAUAUGUAACUGAUCUCUUCAGAUGUGUAAUUAAAACAGUUGAAUGUGUAAUUAAAGAGUUUCUUAUAUAGAUAACUAUAAUUAAAAGUGACGGUGAACUAAGAUUAAAUGUACGCUGGCGAGUUACGAUUUACUUUUGAAAUCAACUUUAUUAAUAGAACUUUCCAUGUAUAACUUAUAAGUAAAUAUACUUUGUCUAGAUAAUUAUAAUAAAGACGAUGAUUGGUAACGGACCCUUGAGAUACAGUUUUAGAUGUGAUAUCAACUCGUUUAGUAACGGCGAUAUUAAUAGCAGUAUACUAACAAAAGGAGACGAAAGAAGAAAUGUUACUGCAAUAAACAAUUCAAAGAAGAAGAAAUUGAUUAACCUAAAGAUGCGAUUGAAUAGUAGAAACUUAAACGUCACAGAAGAUGCAAGUAGAAGCAGCCACUUCAUACACAGCCAUCGGUCUUCGAACUACUGAUCGAUGUCUGGCAAGAAACCAACCUCCGAAAGCUUCUUUCCACUAACGUUCAAAGUCAACUGUGCGGAUUCAACUGUAGAAACUGUAGAAAUGAGCAUCAGGUAAUCUCAUAGACAAGUAUAAAACGCAACAAACGAUAUAUUCGUAAUAACUCUCUAUAUUCUCCCGUAAAUUUAUUAAAAUUGAAUUCCACUUCCAAGCAUUUCAUACAUAAAGCAACCAACAGCUCAUUAAUCGAACGCGUACCUGGUAAAACCUAUUUUUAGACGAACUUCGAUAAACCCGGCGAGCAAAAAGUCCGCUCGCAUCGCGUUUCGAAAUACCGCGCAGCAUCCGCGAUAAACCAGGCCGCAAUCGCAACAAAGUCAGAUCAAUAUUUCCCAAAAGAGACACGACCGCCCACCCACACAGAACACCGCAACACACCGAUUCCCUAGCAGAGCCCUAUAUGCAGCGGAACACUGGAAAAAAAUUGCCAAAACAAAAAACCCUCGAUCGAUACUGUUCGAACAGCGACACAGCCAGGCCUGGGGAUUCUUGGGGCUGCACGCGACUUAUAUCGCGAACAAUAAAAAGAACGUAAGCAUCGUACGACGAGAACUCGGACGAUUCCCCUAGGAUAUACCCUAGGAUGCUAGUCAGAAGCUGUGGAAGAAGCACGUUACGGAGAAAGCGCCCCUGAGAAAGCUCAGCGGCGCCCUAGGCUCGCGACGCUUUAUCCGGCGACUAUAAACGCGUCGGAUGAAAACGUCAGUCUCGACAACGUCUGACGAAGCUGCCCGUCAAACGGAAGACGUCGUCUGACGUACCAUCGGAACAGGGGAACACGUUGAACGUGGAGGCUAGCGUAGCUUUGUCUAGGCGAUAGCUUUUCAUCGAGCUUUCCGCGUUCCAGGAAGCUUUCCGCGUUGUGGACGAGGGCCGAGAAGCAGAUAAACGUUGUCAGAGGCCGCGCUGCGACGUCCUCCACGGCCAGGAGAACAACAGUCGACGAAAGGAUCCUUGGCGUCUCCUACAGAGCGUCGCGACGAGCGUCGUUACGGCGAGGAAUUGGAGCAGGAGAACAAAGCGCAGAGAGAGGUUGUCGGCGUCGCGACGCUGCUCGGGGUUAAUUUUAGAUAUAGCGCGGGUGGGAAGCAUCCAGGGCGACGCGAGGAACGCCCACGGCCGAUGAGUGUGCGCGCUGAGACUCGUAGAGAGUCGAUGGAAUCGAGUAGGGUGAAGUUGCGAUAGAUAAUUUGGAUUGGUUGAGACUCGAGGGUGUGAAAGUUGUGUUAGCGUUCGUGUGAGAUGAUUAGAGUUGUGUGGUAUAUUUAUACGUAUAUGUAUAGCGAGAUGAUGUUGGUCUUUAACGUAGUAGGGUAAAAAUGGAAAAUAUCGUGUGAUUUUGUUGGAGUAAAGAAAAAUUUAAAAAAAACGAGGAAACAAGUCAAAUAAUAUGCUAUGGUAUCAUAAAAUAUGUUAGGCUAUCGAAAACGCAUCUAUUGAUAGUCGCUACUUUUGAAGCUUCUGUUUGCUUCUGUUCGAUACUUUUAUUGUAAGUUUAUGUCGAGUAGCUUAUACGUAUAAAUUAAUUAUUUCUCUGCUUACUUGUUACUUGCUACUCGCUAAAUUAUAGUGGAAAUUGUGUCAUAUAAUCGAUAAAGUACGUAAUUAAAACAAGUGUUUUCACAAUACGUAACUCGCCUAUUGUAUGUCUAAAGAUCAUAUUACCAUGCUAAAUAUAUGCGUUUCUGCUGCUUU